AUUCGAAAUCCUUCGGGAAUUGUAUUUUGAAGGUGGGUUUGGUUAGGAAAAGUUACUUUAAGUCCAUUGGAAAAUGGCGCCAUGGAGGGUGAUAGCCCCGUAAAAGUAUCCCUUUUCCUUUUAUCCAUUCCCUCCAAAGAGUCGAGUUGUUUGGGAAUGCAGCUCUAAGUGGGUGGUAAAUUCCAUCUAAAGCUAAAUAUUGGCGAGAGACCGAUAGCGAACAAGUACAGUGAUGGAAAGAUGAAAAGCACUUUGAAAAGAGAGUGAAAAAGUACGUGAAAUUGUUUUGAAAGGGAAGGGCUUGCAAGCAGACACAACCUCGGUUGGGCCAGCAUCGGAGUGGGGGGAGACAAAAAAGAAAAGGAAUGUAACUCUUUCAAGUAUAAUACCCUUUUUCUCAUAUCUCCACCCCUUUCCAAGGCCGGCAAUUCUUCAGGGAUCCUGCCUUAUUGUUUGCAAUUCCCCGUCU
rnacentral:rRNA from 1 species